AUUCAGAGUUGACAGAGAUUUCUUUUUCAUUUCCCUACGUAUUCCUUGAUUUCUUUGAGGAUGGUUUGCGACGACAUAUUUGCACAGCACCGGACGAGGAGAUUUGGCUGUUCCUCAGAGACGAUGGAGGCUGACACAUCCAUGGACGACGUGGAUACGACGAUCUUGAUUGACUGCGUAUGGAGGGAGGAAUUCGAUGUUCCAGCGAGGCCCAUGGAUGAUGCUGAGAGGGAGGGACCAUCGU